CUAUGUUUGAUAUGCAUUAAGGCCAAAUACUAUCAUGUUUUAGAAAGUUCAUCUUAAUUUGAGGUACCUAUCCACAAAUCGUGGAAAAAGAAGCCCGAUUAAAAAAGGUCCUACACUAGGAAAAAGUGAAUUAAUUAAUAUUAAAAAAUAAAAUAAAAUACAGUAGGUAGAUAGUAUAUAGUUAUUAUAAUAAUACUAUUUACAAAAUAAUGUUUAAAUUAGACUUUUUUUUUAUGUUAUGACUUAUAAAUGUUAAAAAAAGUUCCCUGCACACUAGGAAAAAGUUAGGUCUAAAUUUUAUUAAUAAAUAAAAAAAAUUACAAAUUAAUACAAUAGUC